rnacentral:tRNA from 1 species
GGCGGCGUAGCUCAGUGGUUAGAGCACUCGCUUCAUAAGCGAGCUGUCGUCGGUUCGAUCCCGACCGCCGCUA